UUUUUUUUUCAGACUAACACCUGUCAACAGAGGACACUAAUGAACACAGCAAGUAGAAAGCAGAAGACCAGAGCAUCCAUAAACUAACACCUGUCAACAGAGGACACCAAUGAACCCAGCAAGUAGAAAGCAGAAGACCAGAACAUCCAUAAACUAACACCUGUCAACAGAGGACACCAAUGAACCCAGCAAGUAGAAAGCAGAAGACCAGAACAUCCAUAAACUAACACCUGUCAACAGAGGACACCAAUGAACCCAGCAAGUAGAAACCAGAAGACCAGCACAUCCAUAAGUAAGUAUAAGCAACAUAACAUCUUUUUUCCUUUCUAAUCACAGGCAUGUUGAAUUCACUGAUAACUGACCUCCUCAAAUUCAUGACAGUGACACCUUGUGAUGCUAUCUUGGAUUGGAGAAAGUCAAGAAUGGCCCGCUAUUAAAGGGUGGAGGUGGUUGUUUUUUUUUUUUAACCACAUGCCUGAGAUCAUUUUAAAUGUCACUCACUAUGUACAAAGUCAUACUCUGUACAUAGUAUUUGUUUAACAUUACCAGUAAU